AAGGCGAAGGAGCAAUCUGGAGCGAACCUCAAAAAUAACGUCUCAGUUCGGAUUGCAGGCUGCAACCCGCCUGCAUGAAGCCGGAAUCGCUAGUAAUCGCGGAUCAGAAUGCCGCGGUGAAUACGUUCCCGGGUCUUGUACACACCGCCCGUCACACCAUGGGAGUCGAUAACGCCCGAAGUCAGUGACCUAACCGAGAGGGAGGAGCUGCCGAAGGCGGGAUGGAUAACUGGGGUGAAGUCGUAACAAGGUAUC
rnacentral:rRNA from 1 species